UACGAAGGGGGCUAGCGUUGCUCGGAAUCACUGGGCGUAAAGGGUGCGUAGGCGGGUCUUUAAGUCAGGGGUGAAAUCCUGGAGCUCAACUCCAGAACUGCCUUUGAUACUGAGGAUCUUGAGUUCGGGAGAGGUGAGUGGAAUUGCGAGUGUAGAGGUGAAAUUCGUAGAUAUUCGCAGGAACACCAGUGGCGAAGGCGGCUCACUGGACCACAACUGACGCUGAGGUGCGAAAGCGUGGGGAGCAAACGGG
rnacentral:rRNA from 1 species